rnacentral:tRNA from 1 species
ACCCGCUUAGCUCAGAG